rnacentral:lncRNA from 1 species
AUGAAAAUCAUGCUACCCUCUUACUGCCAAAGUAGUAUGUUUCAGAGAUCGGAAGAGCACACGUCUGAACUCCAGUCACCUACCAGGAUCUCGUAUGUCGUCUUCAAAAAAAAAAAAAAAAAAAAGAAAAAGUAUCUUUUACUAUCACCUUCACUGGCUAUUAAACUAAGUAACAGUAAAUGCAUCUUUCACUCGGCUAUCUUUAUUCAGCAGUACUUUCAAUUAUUUUACAUCUUUAGUCUAAUACAUGCAUUUUAA